GACGAACGCUGGCGGCGUGCUUAACACAUGCAAGUCGAGCGGUAAGGCUCCUUCGGGAGUACACGAGCGGCGAACGGGUGAGUAACACGUGAGCAAUCUGCCCUUCACAUCGGGAUAACUCCGGGAAACCGAAGCUAAUACCGAAUACGACCACUUCAGGCAUCUGAUGGUGGUGGAAAGUUCCGGCGGUGGAGGAUGAGCUCGCGGCCUAUCAGCUUGUUGGUGGGGUAACGGCCCACCAAGGCUU
rnacentral:rRNA from 1 species